AACGAACGCUGGCGGCAUGCCUAACACAUGCAAGUCGAACGAGACCUUCGGGUCGAGUGGCGCACGGGUGCGUAACGCGUGGGAACCUGCCCUUAGGUUCGGAAUAACUCCCCGAAAGGGGUGCUAAUACCGGAUAAUGUCUUCGGACCAAAGAUUUAUCGCCUGUGGAUGGGCCCGCGUUUGAUUAGCUAGUUGGUAGGGUAAAAGCCUACCAAGGCUACGAUCCAUAGCUGGUCUGAGAGGAUGAUCAGCCACACUGGGACUGAGACCCGGCCCAGACUCGUACGGGAGGCAGCAGUGGGGAAUAUUGGACAAUGGGCGACAGCCUGAUCCAGCAAUGCCGCGUGAGUGAUGACGGCCUUAGGGUUGUAAAGCUCUUUUACCCGGGAUGAUAAUGACAGUACCGGGAGAAUAAGCGCCGGCUAACUCCGUG
rnacentral:rRNA from 1 species